rnacentral:lncRNA from 1 species
UAAAAGCAGUCAGCAAGAAAAUCAUGCAGAAAAGUAUUCAGAACCCACGGAAAUGAUAAAAGGCGUGCAUCCCAGGUUCAUUCACCACAAGUUACGAAUUGGCAAAAAAGGCAGGCUUCAAUUACAAAAUUUUCAAUUCGCCAGUGUGAAUAUCAGGACAGCAAAAUUAUAAUUCAACAAGAGUCUGUUGUAGCUAAAUAAAUGAAAAUGACCAUUUGAUUUCUUGUUUCAACCACUGGUUCAAGAAUACAUAGCACAGAAUGAUAACGUAUCUCAUGAAGAAAAAAAUAAUUUACAAAUCUACUCCCUCCGUCCCAUAAUGUAAGACGUUUUUUGAC